UACGUAGGGGGCGAGCGUUGUCCGGAUUUAUUGGGCGUAAAGAGCGUGUAGGCGGCCAGGUAGGUCUGCUGUGAAAACUCGAGGCUCAACCUCGAGACGUCGGCGGAAACCAUCUGGCUAGAGUCCGGAAGAGGAGAGUGGAAUUCCCGGUGUAGCGGUGAAAUGCGCAGAUAUCGGGAGGAACACCGAUGGCGAAGGCAGUGGUCUGGGCCGAAACUGACGCUGAGGAGCGAAAGCGUGGGUAGCGAACAGG
rnacentral:rRNA from 1 species